rnacentral:lncRNA from 1 species
AGUCCUUCGCCGUCCCUCGCCGUCCUUCGCCAUCGCACGCCACCGCACCCCAUCUCUCGAAAUCUGCAGACAUCUUGAUUUUUCCCACGCUGUCUGUCAGGUCUCCGCCGCCACUCGACGCCAGGGCGCCGGGUGAGUCCACAGCAGGGCGCAUGGUCGGCUCCACUCUCACCAUCGGGGGAAACUGAGGCCCCGGGGAAGGCGGCCAGAGAGGUCAGGCCCUGUCCUUGGUGCAGUGUCUCGUCCUCUUUGCCGGAGUGAGCCCCCCAGGAUUCGCGUGUCCUCGGGAAAGACACUGGCAGGCCUUGUGGGCUGUGCUGCACCUCGGACGGCUUCGCACCAGCCAGCGCCCUCUCUCUCCUGCAGCACUCUGAUCUGCACCCCCUGAGGGGCUUCCACUGUCCGCGGGGUGAGAAUGCCCCUGGGAGUGUCACAUGACUGCCGCCCCAUGUGUGUGAGAGGCGUCCUCUGGGAGAGCAUGGAUCCUGAGGUCCCAGGAACAUCCCGAGAGCCAAGUUCCCAGAUGCCAGCCAAGGGCCAUCUGACCUGUUUUGAAUCUCAAUUUCCUGAUACAGAAAACAAAGGAUUGUCAGCUGACCUCUGUCCUGUGUGCCCAGUGGCCCCAGGUGACGUGUCUUCAAGAAGAGGCUGAGCUGCGGUGCUUGUAAGAGUCAUGUGCUGUUCCUGGGGCUUGGAUGAUGUAGGGGAAGCAAGGUGAAAGUGGUAUCCCGUGGUUCCACGUUCUGUCCUGCUGUGGGGCUGUCCCUCACAUGCUUUCAGUGGCUGUUGCAGAGGAAGAGCCUCCGGAAAUCUGCGUGGGUAAAGUCUCAGCCUUAGAUCCAAGGACAGUCCAAGGAAGUCCUAAGACCAUGGAGUUGGUGAUCUGGGAUCUGGGUUUGCUGAUAUUUCUCACCGUGAAUCUCUUGGUGGUGUUUGUGGGCACGAGAGGGGCAGAGAAUGGAGAGUGAGGCUACCACAUGAAGCGUCACCAGAGCUGCUCCCUGCUGCCUGCUCAGAGCACCCCGGAUCCACUGUUCAAUCUGCACAAGAUUCGGGGUCCAGACAUGGGAGACUUCAGCUGCCUCAGAGGACCGUGGACAGGGAAGGCCAGCCUCGCAUCCCUCUGUCCAUGCCUGGAAUGACUUUAAUAACCAAGAGUUUUAUUUUUGAAUUUGUAGCUGUCGUUCACUUUUUACCCACCCAUUCAAUAAACCUUACAGAAUUGCUCCA